CACAUUAUUCUUAGCUAGCCAAACUCAUCAGCCGCCCCUCUUUCUUUCUUUCCUCUCCUCAUACCCUAUGUUUCUUUCCCUCAUACCACCACCAUCAUCUUCGUUAGCUCCAUCUCCCCUCACCCAAAAAUAGCCAGACCCCGUCGUCCCUCCCUCACCAUCUCCGACCUCAACGGUCCUACUCGGGUCGUGAGGACCCAAGUGCAAGUGUCUGAAUCACCCAGGCCCAUCUCAGCCUCCCUCGUGCGUGACCCCGAAGCCAGGUGACCCAAACCCAGAUGCGACCCCAACUUAGCCCUCACCACCAUUUGACCACCCUUGCGCCACCUCACCUCGCCUGUUUUCACACCAAACCACGACCAGACCAGGAGUGAUUUCUGCCUCUCUUCUCUUCUUUUCACAUGUAUAUAUAUUUUACCCUAACAGAGAUGGUCAAUGGCAACAACGCCUUUGAGAAAACCAUUUGCUCAAUCUGCUACAAAGAUCUCAAGGGCAUUAUUGAAGAUCUUCAAGCUGUAUCCAUUUGCGGCCAUGUCUUCCACGAGCUAUGGUUGGUCUUGGAACGACUGGGAAAGGACAACAAAGAGCUCAAACAAGAGAGACAAGACCUAGGGAGGCUGAAAAACAGGACAAGUCUUCUAAUCAUAUUCCAAAAUGGUAGUAGCUUGGUUUGGGUCAAAGACUGACCUUUAUUGAUAGCAUUCUGAGGCACCAAUCUUUUAAAUUUUAGGUAAAGGGAAAAGAAAGUUGGACCAUCCUUGAGUUGGAGAGCUUAGGUGACGAUGUGUACAUAUGCGGCUGCUCGACCGCCACAGCCGAGGGUUUAAAAAGGAACUAGGGUCAAACCCUAUUUUGCCGCUUUGAUCGGCUGGUUGUAACUUUUCCAUUGUAAUUAACCUUUUAAAUGUAUUUUGGGAUCCCAUGUAUGAGGUAAACGCUUUGAUGAAAUAAUGGUACCUUUCUCCAAAAAAUUUAACCCAAAACUGUUAAUCUCGUUUAGUUACACAAUUAUGGCAAAAUGACUUGUUUAGCAAGUUUAGCGUUAUUUAAAAUACACAGUGUAACGGUCCCUGAGUAGUAGGGCGUUGCUAUAAUCCAUCUAAAGCAUACAACAGGAUGGGGGCUGAUAAUUAACUCCUGAAUAACCUAGAUGCCAAGGAUUCAACCCUCAAGCAGCUAACCCUAAUGGAAGAAUAGAUGAAGAAACUCCUAUUUGGGAAAUGAGUCGACGAUUGUGAUGCCAAUGAGGAUCUUGAGCCUUUUGCUCCUAACAAUGUGACAGCUCCGUAUCCUAUUAGCUUGAGGAUGCCGACCAUGACCACAUAUGAUGGAAACUCCGACCCGUUCAAUCACAUUGGGACCUUCAAUACCUUAAUGAUGGCCCACAAUGAUUUGACCUAAGAUGUAUCCUAUUCCUAGCAACAUUGACUGGGUUAGCCAAGUUAUGGUUCAAUAAGUACUAGAAACAUUUAAUCACUUCAUGGAAGAAACUAUCUUCUGAAUUUAAGAGGCAGUUCAGAACUGCGAAGGAACUUCGCGUUGAAGUCGAUUCAUUGGCGAACAUCAAACAGCAGCCCGGUGAAUCCCUGAAGGCAUAUCUGAAUUGGUUUACCAAUGCGGCAACACGAGCUAGAUAUGCUGAUGACAACUCCAAGGUCAUGGCUAUGAGGACAGGGAUCACAGUAGGAGGUGAUUUAUGGAAAGAACUCCAGCGGAAAGGAGUUAGGAGUAUAGAUGAAUUCUUAGCUCGCGCUCAGAAAUGGAUAAAUCUAGAAGAAGCACAAUCUGCUAUCGCGGGAACCAGCCAGACCCCUAUUCAUCCCGUUGGAGCAGUAACAGAUGUUGCAGCUACAACUCAGCCUGCUACCCAGAAUAACUAGGCAGGGAGUAAUAAUCAGAAGGGGAUUGGUGAGGGCGACCACAAUGGCACUAAAAAGAAUAAACUCAGUGAAAAUUACAAGUCCAUCUACAUCGCCUAUACCGACCUGACAGAUACACGAGAGCAUAUCUUCUUGGCAAACUCUAAUCGCCUUCCAUGGAAGAACUGGAGCCUCUGAGGCACCAGAGGAUGAAGAGAGACCCAGCCAAAUUCUGUCGAUAUAACAACGACAUCAGCCAUAACCCUGAUGAUUGCAGUCAGCUAAAAGAAGAGAUCGAGACUCUCAUCCGAGCUGGAACGUUAGCCCAAUAUGCCUGAAACAGAGUAGUUCCCAAUCAGUCAGCAUGGUAAAAUAUUCAACCAGCUCAGGAAAAUCUUGUCAAUCAACCCCAGGCUCAACCAGGCCAGGGGAAUCAGAUCGUCCCUCCUCCAAUAGAAGGGAGGGACAUAGCCACUAUUUCUGGAGGACCUCAUCUGCCGAGCACGAGUAAUAGGGCCCAGAAGAGGUACAUACAGGAGCUAAAAACCCACAAUGGCACUGAGUUCAUUCUGGAGAAAAGGUUAUCAAAACAACAGCGGUUGGAAAAACAACCAAUCAUUUUCACGGAAGAGGACACUAGCCAUGUCCAGUUCUCGCAUAAUGAUUCACUGGUGAUAACCAUUCAGCUCACCAAUCGAAGAGUACAGAGAAUACUAACUGAUAAUGAGAGCUCUGUAAACAUGCUAUUCAGGUCCACCCUAGAAAAAGAUGGGGUUAUCUGUAGCUGAUCUUAAGGCAACCUCGAUGACCCUAUACGGACUCUCGAGAGAAGAAACAGCAGCUAUAGGGACGAUCGGGCUUGUAGUGACACGGGGAGAUGAUAUGCAAACUAUUGCUAAAAUGCUCAAGUUCGUCGUAAUCGAUUGUCCAGCUGCAUACAACGCAAUUUUGGGAUGACCCGCGCUGAUGACUUCUGAAGCUAUCACCUCAAUCCGACAUUUAACAAUGAAGUUCCCUUCGACCUCAGGUAUAUUACUGUAAAAGGGGAUAAGCUCACAGCUAGAUAAUGCUAUAGCAUUGCUAUGAAAGGAAAAUCACAACUCAGGCAGCAAGCGAUUGUCAUCAUUGAAGGGAAUGAGGAGCCUCUGGUAAUGGAAAUUGCUCAUGGGGCGAAAGAACCUCAAGAAAGAGAUAACAAGGUCGCCCAACAGGAUGGCAUUGAUCCGAUAUUAGGUGAAGACAAGUCUAAGCUCCAAGCAAUGGAGGAGCUCGAGGAAAUCAAUAUUGACCCAGAGAUACCUUCAGGGUCGUAAUGGUGGGAAAGAAUCUUGGAACUGAAAGGAAGAAGGAGUUGGUCGAGUUUUUGAGAAAUAACCUGGACGUUUUCGCUUGGUCACAUGAAGAUAUGGUGGGAAUCAAUCCAAAUGUUAUGAUGCAUACUCUGAAUCUGGAUAGGAAUGUACCUGCAAAGGUGCAAAAAUGAUUUUUUUUUUUGGAAGGAAUGAUCAUAAGUUUUAGAAGAAGAAUUAUCUCACUUACUUAAGUGUGGAUUCAUAAGGGAAGCAAAAUAUCCAACCUGGAUUACUAACUCUGUUUUGGUCCCAAAGCCCAAUGGAAAGUGGAGAGCUUGCAUUGAUUUCUUUGACCUCAAUAAGGCUUGUCCUAAGGAUUGUUUUCCACUACCUCGAAUCGAUCAGUUGGUAGACACAACAGUCGGUCACGAGCUCAUGUCUUUCAUGGACGCAUAUUCUGGAUAUAACUAGAUCGCAAUAAACCCUGCAGACCAAGAGCACACUAGCUUCAUGACUGAGCAUAACGUAUACUGCUACAAGGUUAUGUCAUUCGAGCUGAAAAAUGCUGGUGCAAUGUACCAACGACUGGUCAACAAAAUGUUUGUUAACCAGAUUGGGAAAAACAUGGAAGUGUACAUUGAUGAUAUGCUCGUUAAAUCAAAGACUGCCAGCAACCAUGUAUCUUACCUAGAAGAAUGUUUGGGCAUGCUAAGGAAAUAUGACAUGAAGCUAAAUCCUAGAAGUACACCUUUGGGGUUUCCUCAUAAAUUUUUUUGGGCUUCAUAGUCAACACAAGGAGGAUAGAUGCAAACCCAAAGAAGAUCAGGUCGUUACUAGAAAUGUCUUCGCCUAGGCCACCUAAAGAAGUACAAAGCUUAAUUGGAAAAGUGACGGCCCUAAACUGCUUCAUUUCAAAAUCCACUGACAAGUGUUCAAGACAUAAGCCACUAAUCUUGUACUCUGACAACAGUGGAGCAGUAGCUAAUUCCAAAGAACCGAGAAGCCACAAGAAAGGAAAGCAUAUAAAAAGGAAAUACCAUCUGGUAAAAGUGAUUAUACACCGAGGUGAUGUGAUUGUUAUGAAGAUAGUGUCGGAAUAAAACCUGGCUGGCCCGUUUACCAAGACACUUCCUGCAAAGUCGUUCAUGGGUCACGUACGCAAUAUGGGAUUAAGGGAGAUGCCUCACUUGCUUUGAGGGCAAGUGGGAGAUUGUUAGGAUUGAUGCCCUAAAAGCAUGUAAAGACAUUUUAUUGGUUUUAAAUAAAAGUACAAUUUUAUUAUAUUUGAAUGUUAUAAUUAUUGUUUGAAUUAAUUAUAUAAUAAUAUCAAGAAAAUUCCCUAUUCAUUUACGAGAAUAUGAUCUUGUAUUAGUACAAGAGAAUUAAGAUCAUAUAUAAUGAAUAAAAUAGCCAGUAACAUAUUAAAUUAUGGAAUCUUUAAUGAAUGUUUACUAGUACGUUUGCUAAGCAUACGAGAUGCGAGUAAUCUAGAUUCGAAUUACUGGUGUUGAUAGACAUCUUAGUAAAGGUGUUGUAUAUAAUAAAGAUUAUAUAUGACAGGACCGAUGAGAAUUAAUUAUCUUUAUAGAGUUGUCGUUUGACGUAAAGAUUUCAUUCUUAUCAUAAUAGAUGAUCAUUUGUAGAUCAGUCUAAAUCCUGAGUAUUCAUGAACUCCUGUUUAUAUUUAUUGGAUCUUUUGAUUCACUCAUUAAGGUCUCUUAGAAUAAUGAGACUAAUGACUUUUGUUUUGGAGAUUCAGUAUCAUGAAUGGCUGGGAACAUGAAUUACAAUAAUGGAAUUCAUGCUUUCCUAACGGAUUGAAUAUUUGUUCCAUUAAGGGUUCACUCUGGAACUGAAUAGCUAUUGAGCUCAAAUCUAUAAUUAGAUUAUAGAUUAAUUAUUCGCUAAUGAAUUAACGGUAAUUAAGGAUCAAUAGGUAAUUAGAAGGGUAAAAUGGUAAUUUUGACCAGCUCUAAUUAACGAACCAAUAAUGGAGGACAGAACUACAUAUAUUGAUUAUAUCAAUGGACUACAAGAGAAAACUUUGUAAAUGUAAUUCUAUAAAUACUUAGAGUAAAACUCCAUAUUUAUAGUGGAGUAAUCAUAGAAUUAAUAAAUAAGACUAUUAGAUUAAAGAGUUUCAUUAAUAAUCUUGUUUAUUGGAGCUUCGUAUUAUAGGUCCAUGGUCCCCAGAUCACCUCUGUCCUACACUGUCAAGAGUAAGGAUGUCAAAAGAAAUAUUUGUAAAGAGAAAUGACUAAAUUGCAAAGGAAUUAAUUUUCCAAGGCAAGGAAAUAAUUAUGUGAUAAUUAUGGGUAAUUGAUUAAUUGUGAAUUAAUUAAUUAAUUAACUAUAUAGUUUUUAUUUUGAAAAACUAUAGGUUAAAAUUAUAAUUAAUCUUGUUUGGAUUAAUAUGAAGAGAGAAUAAUAAAUAUCUUAUUUACAAUAUAAUAUUUAUUUAUUUAAUUUAAAACUGAUAGUUUAAGAUAAAGUUAAUUUUAAAUUAACUGAUAUUUAUGUUGGAAUAAAUAUAUUGUCGUAAAGAUUGAUUAAACAAACAAAUGAGAAAAUCAAAGAAAUCUUAAUUAGGUUGGGAGACAGACACUCUGCAACAUAGUGUGUGGCGCCUAACUCAGGGAUUUUUAUCCCUGAGGUUUGAAUUUUGAAUUUCAAAUAAUUUUUUUUAAUUAGUUAUUUAAUUAUUCUUUUUAAAUAUGAUUUAAAUAAAUAAUUCAAUAUAAAUAUCUUAUUAGUUUUAAUUUGAAUUAUAUUUUUAAUAAAAUAAAGAUUAUUUAAUUAGAUCAAAUAUCUUUAUAUAAGUAUGAUAGUAUGUGACUUUAAGAAUAAACUUUAUUAUUAUAUUUUAGAAUAAAAAUAUAGACUCACUCUCUCUCUCUCUCUAAAGCGAUAGUUUUCUCAAAACCUGAAAACUAUUCUAAACCUUCUCUUUGUCAAACCUCUCUAGAUGUCAUGUGUUGAGUACAUCUAGAGAGUCACAUGAAUCAACAUUUUUAAUCCUACGUGCCCACACACGUCCUUGUAUGUUUAAGGAUUGGUCUGGAAGAUCAGGGUGUGAGCUUUUAGAUUGUUGGAUAAGAUGAUUGUUAAUUUUAUACAAAAAGAUUCGAGGACACUUGAUAGGCUACAAGAGGUAAUCCUUGAUCUAUUUUGUAUGUGAUUUAAUUUUUAUAUAUGUGUAUGAUCCUGGCUGGUAUUAAUAUUUAUUAAAAUGGGUUUAUAUAUUUCGUUGCAUAUCUUUGAUUUGAUCAUUUAAUACCAACACUAACAAGAACGGAUCCAGAGAUGGGAUAGUUCUAAUCUUGCCUGAGGGACAUCGAUUCCAUACAACCCUGAGGUUCGGUUUUGAAGCAUCCAACAAUGAAGCAGAGUACGAGGCUCUAUUAGCGGGAAUGCGAGUGGCAAAAAAAACUUAAAGCAAAGGUGAUUCAAUGUUACAGUGAUUCUCAUCUCAUGGUUAAUCAGAUAUUGGGGGAGUAUCAAGCUCGAGGUAUCAAAAUGGAAGCUUAUCUAGCUAAGGUUAAAGAUGAGUUGUCUGAGUUUGAGUUCUGCUCCAUUGAGCAAGUACCCCGUGAGCAAAAUUCGACUGAUGAUGUGUUAGCCCGACUUUCCACCACCAAAAAGGCGGAUACGUUAAAUGUAGUCCCAGUGGAUUUCUUAGAACAACCAAGCAUAACGAAAGAACAGAUUGAGGUCAGAGUGAUUGACACAAAAGCAACCUGGAUAACCCCCAUAGUAGAAUACCUCACAACUGGUAAGCUACCAAAUGACCGAAAGGAGACAAGAAAAUUGUUAUAUCAAGUUUCACGUAUGUUCUGGUUGAGGGAAUUCUCUAUCGAAGAGGGCAUUUGCUCCCCCUCCUACGAUGUGUUCUCCCCGAGGAAGCACAGACUAUCCUACAUGAGAUACAUGAAGGAUUAUGCGGAGACCACACUUGGGGGCAAAACCUGGCUCUAAAGAUAUUGAGGCAGGGUUCAUUUUUGGCCUACGCUCAAAAAGGACUCGGCCUCAUACGUCCAAAAGUGUGAUAAGUGCCAACGCUUUUCCACAAUCGCUCGAGCAGUACCCAUGGAGUUAACCAUGAUUUCAUCACCCUGGCCAUUCGUAGUAUGGGGGAUCGACCUGAUUGGUUCACUACCAGUUGGAAAAGGAGGAGUUUGCUAUGUAUUUGUCGCCAUCGACUACUUUACAAAGUGGGUCGAGACCGAGCCUUUGGCAACCAUAACCUCGAAGAGAGUCUUGGAUUUCAUCAUAAAUAACAUCAUAUGCCAUUUUGGGAUCCCAAAGAAGACCAUGUCUGACAAUGGAACUCAGAUCGAUAGUGAUCUUUUCACGAACUUUUGUGAGAAGUACAACAUAACCAAGAGUUUUUCUUCAGUGGAGUAUCCGCAAGCUAAUGGGCAGGUCGAGUCUAUAAAUAAAACCCUAAAGGUGAGCUUAAAGAAAUGACUACAUGAAGCUAAGGGAUUAUGGCCCGAGUAGCUCCCGCAAGUACUUUGGGCCUAUAGGACCUCACAUCGCACCUCCACAUGGCACACUCAUUUCUCUUUAAUAUUUGGAAGUAAGGCUAUGCUCCCAAUUGAGACACUAGUGACAUCACAUAGGCAGAAAACCUUUGACCAAGAUCGAAACCAAGACUUGUUCAACGCAUCUUUGGACCUGAUCGAGGAAAAAUGGGAGGAGUCAUAAUUACAGCUAACCCAUUAUCAACAGAGGAUUACUCAUUACUUUAACUCAAAGGUAAAAGGGCGUAGACUCGAACUGGGUGACUUAGUGCUCCAAAGGGUGUUUUUGGCAAAUAAAGAUCCUAAAGAUGGUGUAUUGGGACCGAACCGGGAAGGACCAUACCAGAUCGUGGAAAUCUUUCGUGAAGGAACCUUCAAAUUAGCUCAGUUAAGUGGAGAGUUGGUCCCAUAAACCUGGAAUGCUCUACAUCUCAAAAAAUACUAUCAGUAAUAGGAUGACUUUGUUAGUUUUUAAUGCUUUUAGUAUUUUUUCGUGUAAGGCUUAUUUAUAAAAGUCAUUCUAUUUUAAUAACACUGGACUACUACGUAAUUUAAAUGUAGAAUCAAUAUUUUAUCUUAUUCUUGUAAUGUAUGUGCUCAUUUUGUAAAAGCGACCUAGAAUAUUCAUAAGUUCUGAUUACUUGGGGGGCAUAUAACCCUAAAAGAGUCUUUAAAGUAUUUAAAAAUUUUGGAUGAAAUUUACAAAACUUAGAAUGUAGAAAAUUGAUUAUUCUACGGCUUUUUAAAGCUCAAAUUUUCAAAGAAAUUCUGAAUACGAACUUAGUUAAGAAAAUUAAAAGAAACAAAACCUAGAAUUCAACUAGGAAAUCCUAGAUAUAACCAGGGGCAAUGCCUAAUUCCUAAUAGUUGCAAUGCUAUUGGGCGAGCAAACGCCUAGAUAUAACCAGGUCCAUGGCCUGAUUCCUAACAGGUACAAUGCUAUUGGGCGAACAAACUCCUGGAUAUAACCAGGUCUGAGGCCUGAUUCCUAACAGGUAUAAUACUAUUAGGCGAGCAAACUCCUGGUUAUAACUAGGUCAUUGACCAGAAUUAACUGGUCGAGUCAUCAGACACUCAUCUCGAUCUAAAGUUAACCCCUAUGACUAUGCAAAUAUACAAAGACUUAAAGUUCAUAAACAUGAUAGGAUAAUAGGUGAAGGGGAACAAAAAUAAAUUAGAAAUUAAUGAACAUGUACUAACAUAAUUAUAUGAAUAACUCAAGGAGAAAUUGUCUCGGCCUAAAAGGCCUAUAUACAAAAAUCUCCAAGCCUAAAAUAUAUAUAUAUACAUCUAUAAGAGAGGUCCCCCUUCAUCCCUGAGCUCCGGUGACUUGCCUCUGGGAUGACACCUCUUCCUUCUCGACCUCUGCCGCAGCUCCGAAAGCCUCGGCUGUAUCCGCAAGCUCCUUUUAUAAUUUGUCCUAGAACUUGGCAAGGUAGCUCCCCCAAACUUCCGCAUCCAGGAAUGAGAAGUCCCAUUCCUGGUUAUACACCCAGACCUGAUAGAACAUUUCUUCUAAAGAGCUCUCCGCUUCAGCAACGUCCUCCUUUGCUUUGGCCUUGACCUCCACAAGCCUUUGCUUUAGAUUGUCGACCUCCGCAAGCUUCUGCUUAAGAUCAUUAACCUCAAGCUGAAGCUGGUCCCGCUGUUGAAUCACCUCCAAGGCUUGAGCUUUGGCAACUCGCUCAUUCUCUUGCGAUAUCUUCAGGGCAUUGUUGGCCUCAUCCAGGGCUGCCUUCGUGGCGUUGGCUUCCUCCAAGGUGACCUACACCUCCCCCAAGGCGGUCUUGGCCUCAUUAACCUUGGCUCAGACCCAGGCGAUGCCACGGAUCUAAGCCAAGCAGGAUUGCAAACAAAGGAUAAAGAAGGGUUAGUUUUUGAAGGUGUGGGGCUAGAAGAAGAAGAUCAGUAUAGUAUUUACCGUCAAAGUCAUCCCUAACGUAGAGUCAAGGAUGGUCGUUGAUUGUCGUGACUCAAUAGCCAACAACUCUUUAACGUUGACCACGCUCGCGUGCUUCAUCAUGUGGCUCACAAUCUCCUAAUAUGAGCUGCGCAGGGGAGCUGGGAUGGUGACUGUUGAGGCUUCGGUUUGGAUGACUUGCGGGAUAAAAGUGGGGUCGCGAAGAGCUGGUGGAGGAACAAGCAGAGUCGUGAAUACGGUGGGCUAAGGCUGCUGCUUCUUCUGGGUGAAGCUGGCACCCUUGUCUUUUGUAGGAGACCCGGUGGCGGUUCCAACUCCUGGAGCUAUUUUCUUUGAAACCCUCAGCCUCUUUACAUGUGGUUUGGUCUUGAGGGCCUCCUUUAGAUUCAUUUAUUCAUCUAAAAAAGGGCAAGCAGAAGAAUCAGGUCCAAGAAACAAUUAGUCAAGAUAACAUAAAGCAAAGAGUAACAGUAUAAGAACCCUACCCUCUGAACUAGAGGAGGAAAUUACUAUGAUCAACUCUGGAUUAUGAACUGGGCUAGGUAAAACCUUUACCUCUUGGAUUAUCGAAGGAGGGGGAGACUCUAGUAUUAUUACAUUGUGAGACCUACGGGGUUCAAGCUCCUCGUCUGGACUAGACUCGGGCUCGGCCUGCCUAAUAUCCGGGGUAAAAACACCAUGACACAAGGAAGGCCAUGAUAAAAGGUUUGUACCGUAUUUUUCAAAUAUAGUGGACCUAAAGUGUAAGGUGUUAUCUACCACUACGGUACAUUUGGGGUAGCUAUGAUCGUGGCGUACAACUAAUUGGUCCACACACUAAAGGAGGAUCACAUUCAAGUCCAGAUCAACCGGGUCAACUCACGAGCUGCCUUGGGUUGAAUCGGACUAGCCUAAAAAUGGCAGCUGCUCGAUUCAUUUCUCUAUAUGGGUUACCUUGGCCGAAGGUGCCGGCUGCUGCCCCCAAUUUAGCUGGGCCUUGGUUAGGAUCUUGUCCAUCCUUAGGAACCUUUCUUUUGCUCACCAACUGUGCGACCUCCUCUUCUUCAUCAACCUCUUCAUCGGCUAGGAAGAGUUGUUGGGGAGGAGGGAGCUCGGGGAGAGGGCCUAAAACCCUAAUGGCCAGUGUCUGAUCCUCGCGGACCAGCUUGCAAGCAACCAUGGUGGCAUCAUUUACCACCAUCUGAAACUCUUUCUCCUUCGUAGGAGCAUGGGAUAGAGUCUCGUAUUGACCUCCGAGGGUCUUUGACCACUUCGUUCUCUUAUAUAUAGCUUCACAAAGUAACAACUCGUUCAGAAUAAGUUUUAACUUGGUUAAGAAAGAAUUCAAAUGCAAAGUUCGAGAAGAUGAGAAACUUACGAGGAUGGUUGAAGUAUUGAUGAUUGCAGUUCUUAAACCAGUUUGACAUGAAGAAUUGAUCCUUAUAAUCAUUUGGGUGGGGAGGUCGAUGAUAGAGGUUGUGCUAGGAAACCUGGUGAGGUAGUAGAAGCCAUCACCUUGCCCCUUUUACUCUGAAUUGGCCUUGAGGAAAAAUAAAUACAUAAUAUCGGCGGGGAUGUCCCACUCAUCCUUCAAAAAUAAAUACUUCAACCCCACCAGAAGUCGAUACGAGUUAUGGGGAGCUGGAACGGUGCCAGUUCCACGUAGUUUAAAAAAUCUACGAAGUACUGGUCCAAGGGAAGAAAGGUACCUGCCUUCAAGUGCUCAUCACUCCAUGCCCCAAAUUUGUCUUGGAUCGCAGUACAGCUCUGCUCUCCGUCCAACAGAAAGCGGGCAAUAAGUACUUUGGAGCCUAUCUUGAUCCCGUGACUCAAUAAGAUUUUGUUAACCUUACCCUGAGUCUUUAUCCAAGAUUCGAUAUGCUCGGCCUCAAAGAAGGCGUUGGCGUCAACCACAAUCUGCCUAUCCAUCAUUGGGCCGCAGUGAGGAAUAGGGGUCUCGAAGACGACCUCCUUAUCUUUAUUUUGGCUUUAAGAGAAGGAGUUCUCCACUGUUUUUUUCUUCUGGUUGGCCAUAAUUAAGUUCGCUUGGCAACAGAACGGCAUAUUAGAGGCGACCUAAGAUGUAACUUCACUGUGACACUAGAAGUGAGGGAAAGCUAGAGUUUUAAGUUCAGUUUACUCAACCUAAGGUACUUACGAGCUAGAUUCUCACCUAAUGCUAAUACGUGGGUUCACAUGCAGUCAAAAACCACACGCCAUAACCUUGGGAAACCCAUGAUACUUCGAGAUUCGCGUGUCAUACCCAAUACCUUUUUGGAAAGCGGUUUAAAGCAAAACCAUUGGAGAAACAGUAACCCUUAAGCUACCUAGAACUAAACCUAAAAAAGAAUCCCUAAAAUAUUCAAGUUCAUGUAUUCAGAUGUUCCUCUUUCAAACCUAGAAAACCCAUAAAAUUACCCAUUUUUGUGCAUUAUUUCUAAUUGAGUCUAGUGCUAUUGUUUUUGGCCUAACAAAAACCCACACUAAACUCAAACAUGACCAAAGUAAGAAAACAUAUUGGAAAAUUUCAUAAAACUUAUUGAAAAAUAAGAAGAUGAAAUUUAAAUCGGAUAUAAAGAUACUUACAGUUUGAUUUUUUGGUCGAGGAAAUUAUAGCAGCACCAAAGGUAAUAACCUAAAAGCUUCUGGAAAAUGAGGGAACGCAGAAAGCUCUGAAAGUAUUUUGAGAAGAAAAAAGAGGAAAUUUUUUUAAUGCAAAUGUGGUAAGAUUACGGUCUGGUUCUCCUAUUUAUAUGUAAACUUCGGGAACUGAUUUAGGCCGCACGAUUGAAUCAAUUCGAGAUCCAAGGGCCUGGAUUAAAUAAAUCAAACAGCGGAAAAAAGUUAACAAGCUAGUUGUCGCAUUACUCGAAACCCAAAUAGGUGUCUAUUACAGACUGACAUGUGCCCGUACUCGAGUGAGUGGGUAGGCACAAUUUAACAUGACAGAAGCCAAAAAGCCCCUACUGUGUGUGUCAGAAGCGACGAGCAGGAGCUUGGGGGCAAAUGUUGCACCCCAAAAAUACGAGCUAAAUUACUCGGCAUGGGGUACAGCUAUCAGACAAGCGUAUGAAGAAAGCGUACAGAUAAAGCAUCUAGCUAGCUCUUGAGUGAGCAGCUCGAGUCAAACUUGACAACUUACGACAACCAGAUAGUCUCCAGAUCGCCUCUUACGCCAUCAACUUAGUUCGAGAUGCGUGUGAGCUAGAUCGCGUUCGUGAAACUCUGAACAUGAUCCGUGUUAGUUCAAAUUAGUUAUUCGACACCCAACUCGAAGGAAGUGUUCAGCUCGCGGAAGCCUGAUCAUGACGCAUAGUGAAGGAUCCCAAAAGACUCGGAGAUUCUUUAUACCCUCAUUAAUGCUCAGAUAUUAUUUUGUAUUUAUUACCCGAUAUUGUGGGCAUAGAAUCAAUGCAUUAAUGUAUUUAAGUAAAUGGGAUGUUAUCCAAAAAUGUAUGCCACCAUAUUUAUGCAUGGUUACCCAAAAUUGUCCUGCCAGAAUUCCCUAUAAAUAUAGGGGAGAAUGGACAGAAAAGAGGAUCGACUUUUUUGUGUACUGAAACUCUGGUGAAAUUGUCACAAACAAUGUCAUAGUGAGAACAAAACAGAUUAAUAAGAGUGACUCAUGGACUAUGUGGAUUUUUAACUACUGAACCACGUAAAAACUGUGAGAGUGUUCUUGAUA